rnacentral:rRNA from 1 species
GAUGAACGCUGGCGGCGUGCCUAAUACAUGCAAGUCGAGCGAACAGACGAGGAGCUUGCUCCUCUGACGUUAGCGGCUGACGGGUGAGUAACACGUGGAUAACCUACCUAUAAUACUUGGAUAACUUCGGGAAACCGGAGCUAAUACCGGAUAAUAUAUUGAACCGCAUGGUUCAAUAGUGAAAGACGUUUUUUCUGUCUCUUAUAGAUGGAUCCUCGCCUCAUUUGCUAGUUGGUAAGGUAACGGCUUACCAAGGCAACGAUUCGUAGCCGACCUGAGAGGGUGAGCGGCCACAAUGGAAGUGAGACACGGUCCAGACUGCUACGGGAGGCAGCAGUAGGGAAUAUUACGCAAUGGGCGAAAGCAUGACGGAGAAACGCCGGGUGAGUGAGGAAGGUCUUCGGAUCGUAAAACUCUGUUAUUAGGGAAGAAAAAAUGUGUAAGUAAAUAUGCACGUAUUGACGGUACCUAAUCAGAAAGCAACGGCUAACUACGUG